CUGUCAAUCCAUGGCGAAGUGAUCAAAUACGGGAAUGACUAGGGCGGGGUGGAGGCUUCAAGCCACUCAGGCAUCUAGUGGCGUGACGACUGUGACUAUACAGCGGUAAAAGUCCUUUGACUACUUCGAGAGUAUUGGAUGACGGUGACAAUGAAACAAGCGAUGCAACGAACGACAUUCUUGCUCAUGCAGGAUUACUCACGUACAUCAUAAAGUACUAUCACGUACUACCAUAACGUAAAGUAGCACUGUACGUCUGGCUUAGCUAGUGCAACCAGAGGUGCAAGGUUUUGAGGACUGUUGCCCAAGAAUUGUCAUGUCUGGCUACAGAAUGGACAUUGGUGCCAACUGGCUAAAAGUACUAACCCAGGUUGCUACAAAUACUGAAACAAUUAAAUAAGAACGUAGGAAUCUCAAUUCUGUAUGCAGUUGUUUUGACUAUCAUGGAUAUCAAGUCAGAGAGUUGACUGCAAGUAUUGACAGUGAACAUUGUUGGACGUUUUCUACUCAAUACAGACAAGAAUUUCAGAUAUGUAGCUUUGAACACUCUUCUAAAACAGAUCACACGGAUCAUACAUCUGUUCAAAGGCACAGGAGCACCGUUGUUGAUUGUUUAAAGGAUCGAGACAUAUUCAUUAGAAGCAACAGUUGAGGAUGAGGCUGCGGAUUUCAUACAGUCUGAAUGGAUCCCCUGUGACGAAACAAGGUGAGAUUGGCGAAUUUCCACCAGCAGUUUCUCACUAAUGAGAAUCAGAUGAUUAUUAGUUUGUGCUGCUCGUCAAUCAUCUUGCUUGUUGUGUGACUGUUGUUGUCGUCGUGCUUUCUGGUCAAGUUGUUGUAGAUUAUUGGGUAGAUGACACUUGUAGAUUGGCAGCUGUUGGCUAUGACUUGCUUUCAAAUUGUAUUUGCUACAGUGGAAAUAAACGCGUCACAUUUUAGUCUAGCGGACGGUAGGCGUUGCGCUGGAAUCUGUUGGCCACGUGGUUCGUGCGGAAUUAGGAGUCUGUCUAUCGCUUUUAGUGGCUGUAAUGUCGACGAUUUGGAAUAUGCAGAAAGGAGAUGCAAACCGUCACGUCGAGACUUUAUAAUG